CGGACUCCUACGGGAGGCAGCAGUGGGGAAUAUUGGACAAUGGGGGCAACCCUGAUCCAGCCAUGCCGCGUGUGUGAAGAAGGCCUUUUGGUUGUAAAGCACUUUAAGCAGUGAAGAAGACCUAACGGUUAAUACCCGUUAGCGAUGACAUUAGCUGCAGAAUAAGCACCGGCUAACUCUGUGCCAGCAGCCGCGGUAAUACAGAGGGUGCAAGCGUUAAUCGGAAUUACUGGGCGUAAAGCGAGCGUAGGUGGCUUGAUAAGUCAGAUGUGAAAUCCCCGGGCUUAACCUGGGAACUGCAUCUGAUACUGUUAAGCUAGAGUAGGUGAGAGGGAAGUAUAAUUCCAGGUGUAGCGGUGAAAUGCGUAGASAUCUGGAGGAAUACCGAUGGCGAAGGCAGCUUCCUGGCAUCAUACUGACACUGAGGCUCGAAAGCGUGGGUAGCAAACAGGAUUAGAUACCCUSCGUAGUCCACGCCSUAAACGAUGUCUACUAGUCGUUGGCGUCCCUUGAGGACUUAGUGACGCAGCUAACGCAAUAAGUAGACCGMCUGGGGAGUACGGCCGCAAGGUUAAAACUCAAAUGAWUUGACGGGGGCCCGCACMAGCGGUGGAGCAUGUGGUUUWAUUCGAUGCAA
rnacentral:rRNA from 1 species